UCGAAUUAUAAGCGAGGGUUGUCGCUGGCCUCUUUCGGGGCAUGUGCACGCCUGAGCUCUUAAAUCCACAACACACCUGUGAACCCACCGUAGGCCUUCGGGCUUAUGUAUCAUAUACUCUGAAUGUGUCAUAGAAUGUUCAUGUUGCCUUAAAACGCAAUCAAAUA
rnacentral:misc_RNA from 1 species